AAGUCGUAACAAGGUUUCCGUAGAAUAAGUUCUGGAACAAUUCCCUUCUGGGGUCUAGUUUUCGGGUUUCGACCCGUUAACUGAAUGAUUCUUCCACAGUGACACUUAUAGAAGCCUAUGUGCCCUCGCAAGAGGCUAUACCGCGACUCUAAACUAAGGGUAACUUUGCAAGUCGUUCGAGAGAGCGGCAACACAAUCGAAAUGCGGGGAUCUCCUAAAGCUUAAAGGUACCAACCUGUGGUGGAAACGCCAUCGGGGCCUAUGUUAACUGUA
rnacentral:misc_RNA from 1 species